rnacentral:rRNA from 1 species
UACGUAGGGCGCAAGCGUUGUCCGGAAUUAUUGGGCGUAAAGAGCUCGUAGGCGGUUUGUCGCGUCUGUCGUGAAAGCCCACGGCUUAACCGUGGGUCUGCGGUGGAUACGGGCAGACUAGAGGCAGGUAGGGGAGAAUGGAAUUCCCGGUGUAGCGGUGAAAUGCGCAGAUAUCAGGAGGAACACCGGUGGCGAAGGCGGGUCUCUGGGCCGAUAUUGACGCUGAGGAGCGAAAGCGUGGGGAGCAAACAGG